UACGUAGGGUGCAGGCGUUAAUCGGAAUUACUGGGCGUAAAGCGUGCGCAGGCGGUCUUUUAAGUCAGAUGUGAAAUCCCCGGGCUUAACCUGGGAACUGCGUUUGAAACUGGCGAGCUUGAGUAUGGAAGAGGGUCGCGGAAUUCCCGGUGUAGAGGUGAAAUUCGUAGAUAUCGGGAGGAACACCAGUGGCGAAGGCGGCGACCUGGGCCAAUACUGACGCUGAGGUGCGAAAGCGUGGGGAGCGAAC
rnacentral:rRNA from 1 species